rnacentral:rRNA from 1 species
GAUUGACCUCGGAUCAGGUAGGGAUACCCGCUGAACUUAAGCAUAUCAAUAAGCGGAGGAAAAGAAACCAACAGGGAUUGCCUCAGUAACGGCGAGGGAAGCGGCAACAGCUCAAAUA